UUCGCAAUGCCCGAAAGGAUGACGAAGCGACGCCGCGUGUGGGAAGAAGGCCUUCGGGUUGUAAACCACUGUCGGGAGUUAAGAAAUGUAAGGGUGUUAACAGCAUCCUUACUUGACUAAGGCUCCGGAGGAAGCCACGGCUAACUCUGUGCCAGCAGCCGCGGUAAUACAGAGGCGGCAAGCGUUGUUCGGAAUUAUUGGGCGUAAAGAGCACGUAGGCGGCCUUGCAAGUCAGUUGUGAAAGCCUUCCGCUUAACGGAAGAACAGCAGCUGAUACUACAGGGCUUGAGUGCGGGAGGGGAGAGUGGAACUUCUGGUGGAGCGGUGAAAUGCGUAGAUAUCAGAAGGAACGCCGGCGGCGAAAGCGGCUCUCUGGCCCGUAACUGACGCUGAGUGUGCGAAAGCUAGGGGAGCAAACGGGAUUAGAUACCCCGGUAGUCCUAGCCGUAAACGAUGGGCACUAAGUAGAGGGGUUUU
rnacentral:rRNA from 1 species